UUUUUGCGGGGCAGGCUGUGUUUCGUUCGCUUCGUGCUGAUUCGGGCUGUGUUGCGCGUGGGAUAAGCUUUUUGCACCAUGGAUGGAGUGCCAGUGAAGAUUAGUGAACAGUGCCGGCCGCCAGGAAAAGUUCAUCUACCAGCAUCACUUCGAACACUUCCGCCGCCGGAGGUUAACGUUCAAACGUACACUUUCGAGUUGGAGGAAAAGGCUACACAUUGGGUGCAGGAACGUCGAAGAAAUCUGUUGUCCGAAAGAGCGGAAAGACAGAAACGUUUAGAACUCAAAGAUGCAGCCAAACAAAAACAGAAAGAAGAACUGGAGGAAUUAGCGAAACAGGAACAGCAGGAAAAGCUUAAGAGAGAGGAAGAGGAACGGCAGCGGCAGGAGACAGAAGCGGCGAGAAUGUUAGCCGAAGAAGAGGAGAGGUUACGUCGCGAGGAGGAGGAAAAACUGGAGGAAUUCCGACGACGGCGUGAACAGUUGUCUCGCCAAGAGAGUGAGACGGCGGCAGAGCGCGUGCCCGCCGCCGAGGUGCAGGCCGGCCCGGAGUCUCAGCCGCCGGAGCA